rnacentral:rRNA from 1 species
GAUGAACGGUAGCUACAGGCUUAACACAUGCAAGUCGAGGGGCAGCAUGGUCUUAGCUUGCUAAGGCCGAUGGCGACCGGCGCACGGGUGAGUAACACGUAUCCAACCUGCCGUCUACUCUUGGACAGCCUUCUGAAAGGAAGAUUAAUACCCGAUGGUAUAUUUUCACCGCAUGGUGAAACUAUUAAAGAAUUUCGGUUAUCGAUGGGGAUGCGUUCCAUUAGGCAGUUGGUGAGGUAACGGCUCACCAAACCUUCGAUGGAUAGGGGUUCUGAGAGGAAGGUCCCCCACAUUGGAACUGAGACACGGUCCAA